rnacentral:rRNA from 1 species
ACGCUGGCGGCAGGCCUAACACAUGCAAGUCGAGCGGUAGAGAGAAGCUUGCUUCUCUUGAGAGCGGCGGACGGGUGAGUAAUGCCUAGGAAUCUGCCUGGUAGUGGGGGAUAACGUUCGGAAACGGACGCUAAUACCGCAUACGUCCUACGGGAGAAAGCAGGGGACCUUCGGGCCUUGCGCUAUCAGAUGAGCCUAGGUCGGAUUAGCUAGUUGGUGAGGUAAUGGCUCACCAAGGCGACGAUCCGUAACUGGUCUGAGAGGAUGAUCAGUCACACUGGAACUGAGACACGGUCCAGACUCCUACGGGAGGCAGCAGUGGGGAAUAUUGGACGAUGGGCGAAAGCCUGAUCCAGCCAUGCCGCGUGUGUGAAGAAGGUCUUCGGAUUGUAAAGCACUUUAAGUUGGGAGGAAGGGUUGCAGAUUAAUACUCUGCAAUUUUGACGUUACCGACAGAAUAAGCACCGGCUAACUCUGUGCCAGCAGCCGCGGUAAUACAGAGGGUGCAAGCGUUAAUCGGAAUUACUGGGCGUAAAGCGCGCGUAGGUGGUUUGUUAAGUUGGAUGUGAAAUCCCCGGGCUCAACCUGGGAACUGCAUUCAAACUGACUGACUAGAGUAUGGUAGAGGGGUGGUGGAAUUUCCUGUGUAGCGG